CAGAAUAUUACUCCACCAUGAACAUUAAAGUGUUCUUCUACUUCAUAGUUAAUGCUUGCGAAUUGUUGUUGUUAUUGGAGAAUACGAAUCAAGCAAUGGAGUUCAAAGGUCAGAUUUCGGAGGGCAACACCAUAAAGAGGAUUUUUGUAAUUAAUCAACUUUGCAAGAAUGAGGAGCACAUUGAAUGUUCGGCAGCAAUAAAGCAUAAUGCAUCGCAUCACCUUUCUAAAAUAUUAGAAUAAAAGACUAUGGCAUUCUACCUUAGUUUUGUUUGUCAAUCUCUUUA